AGGAGUUUGAUCCUGGCUCAGAUUGAACGCUGGCGGCAUGCCUUACACAUGCAAGUCGAACGGCAGCGCGGGCGGGGGUAACUUCGCCUGGCGGCGAGUGGCGAACGGGUGAGUAAUAUAUCGGAACGUACCCUGGAGUGGGGGAUAACGUAGCGAAAGUUACGCUAAUACCGCAUACGAUCUAAGGAUGAAAGUGGGGGCUUCGCAAGAACCUCAUGCUCCUGGAGCGGCCGAUAUCUGAUUAGCUAGUUGGUGGGGUAAAGGCCUACCAAGGCAUCGAUCAGUAGCUGGUCUGAGAGGACGACCAGCCACACUGGAACUGAGACACGGUCCAGACUCCUACGGGAGGCAGCAGUGGGGAAUUUUGGACAAUGGGCGAAAGCCUGAUCCAGCAAUGCCGCGUGAGUGAAGAAGGCCUUCGGGUUGUAAAGCUCUUUUGUCAGGGAAGAAACGGUGAAGGCUAAUAUCCUUUGCUAAUGACGGUACCUGAAGAAUAAGCACCGGCUAACUACGUGCCAGCAGCCGCGGUAAUACGUAGGGUGCAAGCGUUAAUCGGAAUUACUGGGCGUAAAGCGUGCGCAGGCGGUUUUGUAAGUCUGUCGUGAAAUCCCCGGGCUCAACCUGGGAAUUGCGAUGGAGACUGCAAGGUAGAAUCUGGGCAGAGGGGGGUAGAAUUCCACGUGUAGCAGUGAU
rnacentral:rRNA from 1 species